AGGUACAUUCCUAGAGCAUAUCAUUUAUGCACCAAAUCCCAUUAGAACUCUGCAGUUAAGUGCGCUCAAGAUAGAGUAGUACUAAGAUGGGUGACCACUCGGGAAGUCCUAGUGUUUUACAUU
rfam:Picea glauca, whole genome shotgun sequence.